AUCUUUGCGCUUGGGGCAAUGACGCAGCUAGUGAGGUUCUAACCGAGGCGCGUCUAUUGCUGGUUGAAAACUAUUUCCAAACCCCCUCUUCGGCCUUGGUUCUGCCUUGGCCGUCGAGAAUUUUUGCAAGGGCUCCCCUCACGGGGUAAAGCC
rfam:Solanum tuberosum cultivar DM 1-3 516 R44 scf00093_40, whole genome shotgun sequence.